rnacentral:lncRNA from 1 species
CUCAAUAUGGUCUCUAAGUUGAUAAGAUAUGGUAUGAUGCAAUUUUGACCUUAACAGCUUGAUUUAAUGGCCGACUAACAUGCAUCAAGUAUAUGAAAGCAGAAAAAUACAACAUUCAUAACACAAAUUAAUAUCGGUGAUUUUAAUGAUAUGUUAUCGCUAGAAGAUAAAAUAGACGGAAGUGAGUAACCACAGUGGCUCAUUCGAGGAUAUAGAGAAGCAGUGCAAGAUAGUAGACAUCACCGGAAAUGGAUUUGAUGCAGUAACUGCGUGACACAGUUACUCACCUAGACCGGCUGAUCUGGAAUUGAUAGAUAGGAUGGUUUUUACUUGAUUUUGAUGAUAUUUAAUUUUAACCGCCUGAUUGAUGAUCAACG